AAAGCAUUCCUGGAAAUCUCGGCCCAAAAAAGGACGUUUAGUAAUUCUAAAAGGGACUACAGGAUGAAAAACAAUAGUUUUGGCAGUUAAAGUUUGAGAUUCGAUAAUGCCGUAGAUCCGUUUGGUCAUCAGGUGUAACGAGCCACACCCAUGUCUGGUUAGAGUAGUGUGCUAGGCUCAGACUAGAUAAGAAACGGGGAACAAACUGAUGAAAGAAUGAUCAUACCGAGCGAAUUCACUCAGAACUAACAAGAAUGAUAACAUGCUCCGACUGGAGCGGUUUAGGAACUGCUGGAAGGCUCUAGGGGAAUAAAGAUGGAAUGACUUCUAAUUUUUAGGUCCGUAUGAUUUGAAAUACUUGCACACAAACCACGCGAAAGCGUUCCUGGAAAUCUCAGCCCAAAAAAGGACGUUUAGUAAUUCUAAAAGGGACUACAGGAUGAAAAACAAUAGUUUUGGCAGUUAAAGUUUGAGAUUCGACAGUGCCGUAGAUCCGUUUGGUCAUCAGGUAUUACGAGCCACACCCAUGUCUAGCUAGAAUAGUGUGCUAGGCUCAGGCUAGAGAAGAAACGGGGAACAAACUGAUGAAAGAAUGAUCAAACCGAGGGAAUUCACUCAGAACUAACAAUAAUGAUAACGUGCUCCGACUGGUGCGGUUUAGGAACUGCUGGAAGGCUCUAGGGGAAUAAAGAUGGAAUGACUUCUAAUUUUUAGGUCCGUAUGAUUUGAAAUACUUGCACACAAACCGCGCGAAAGCGUUCCUGGAAAUCUCAGCCCAAAAAAGGACGUUUAGUAAUUUUAAAAGGGACUAUAGGAUGAAAAACAAUAGUUUUGGCAAUUAAAGUUUGAGAUUCGACGGUGUCGUAGAUCCGUUUGGUCAUCAGGUGUUACGAGCCACACCCAUGUCUAGCUAGAAUAGUAUGUCAGGCUCAGGUUAGAGUAGAAACGGGGAACAAACUGAUGAAAGAAUGAUCAUACCAAGGGAAUUCACUCAGAACUAUCAAGAAUGAUAACGUGCUCCGACUGGAGUGAUUUAGGAACUGCUGGAAGGCUCUAGGGGAAUAAAGAUGGAAUGACUUCUAAUUUUUACGUCCGUAUGAUUUGAAAUACUUGCACACAAAUCACGCAAAAGCGUUCCUGGAAAUCUCAGCCUAAAAAAGGACGUUUAGUAAUUCUAAAAGGGACUACAGGAUGAAAAACAAUAGUUUGGGCAGUUAAAAUUUGAGAUUCGACGGUGCCGUAGAUCCGUUUGGUCAUCAGGUGUUACGAGCGACACCCUUGUCUAGCUAGAAUAGUGUGUUAGGCUCAGACUAGAGAAGAAACGGGGAACAAAGUGAUGAAAGAAUGAUCAUACCGAGGGAAUUCACUCAGAACUAACAAGAAUGAUAACGUGCUCCGACUGGAGCGGUUUAGUAACUGCUGGAAGGCUCUAGGGGAAUGAAGAUGGAAUGACUUCUAAUUUUUAGGUCCGUAUGAUUUGAAAUACAUGCACACAAACCCUGAGAAAGCGUUCCUGGAAAUCUCGGUCGAAAAAAGGAUGUUUAAUAAUUCUAAAAGGGACUACCGGAUGAAAAACAAUAGUUUUGGCAGUUAAAGUUUGUGAUUCGAUGGUGCCGUAGAUCUGUUUGGUCAUCAGGUGUUACGAGCCACACCCAUGUCUAUCUAGAAUAGUGUGUUAGGCUCAGGCUAGAGCAGAAACGGGGAACAGACUUAUGAAAGAAUGAUCAUACCGAGGGAAUUCACUCAGAACUAACAAGAAUGAUAACGUGCUCCGACUGGCGCGGUUUAGGAACUGCUGGAAGGCUCUAGGGGAAUAAAGAUGGAAAGACUUCUAAUUUUUAGGUCCGUAUGAUUUGAAAUACUUGCACACAAACCGCACGAAAGCGUUCCUGGAAAUCUCAGCCUAAAAAGGAUGUUUAGUAAUUCUAAAAGGGACUACAAGAUGAAAAAUAAUAGUUUGGGCAGUUAAAAUUUGAGAUUCGACGAUGCCGUAGAUCCGUUUGGUCAUCAGGUGUUAUGAGCCACACCCAUGUCUAGCUAGAAUAGUGUGUUAGGCUCAGGCUAGAGAAGAAACGGGGAACAAACUGAUGAAAGAAUGAUCAUACCGAGGGAAUUCACUCAGAACUAACAAGAAUGAUAACGUGCUCCGACUGGAGCAGUUUAGAAACUGCUGGAAGGCUCUAAUGGAAUAAAGAUGGAAUGCCUUCAAAUUUCUAGGUCCGUAUGAUUUGAAAUACUUGCACACAAACCGCUCGAAAGCGUUCCUGGAAAUCUCAGCCCAAAAAAGGACGUUUAGUAAUUCUAAAAGGGACUACAGGAUGAAAAACAAUAGUUUUGGCAGUUAAAGUUUGAGAUUCGAUGGUGCCGUAGAUCCGUUUGGUCAUCAGGUGUAACGAGCCACACACAUGUCUAGCUAGAGUAGUGUGCUAGGCUCAGACUAGAGAAGAAACGGGGAACAAAGUGAUGAAAGAAUGAUCAUACCGAGGGAAUUCACUCAGAACUUACAAGAAUGAUAACGUGCUCCGACUGGAGCGCUUUAGUAACUGCUGGAAGGCUCUAGGCGAAUAAAGAUGGAAUGACUUCUAAUUUUUAGGUCCGUAUGAUUUGAAAUACUUGCACACAAACCACGCAAAACCGUUCCUAGAAAUCUCGGUCGAAAAAAGGACGUUUAGUAAUUCUAAAAGGGACUACAGGAUGAAAAACAAUAGUUUUGGCAGUUAAAGUUUGAGAUUCGAUGGUGCCGUAGAUCCGUUUGGUCAUCAGGUGUUACGAGCCACACCCAUGUCUAGCUAGAGUAGUGUGCUAGGUUCAGACUAGAGAAGAAACGGGGAACAAAGUGAUUAAAGAAUGAUCAUACCGAGGGAAUUCACUCAGAACUAACAAGAAUGAUAACGUGCUCCGACUGGAGCGGUUUAGGAACUGCUGGAAGGCUCUAGGGGAAUAAAGAUGGAAUGACUUCUAAUUUUUACGUCCGUAUGAUUUGAAAUACAUGCACACAAACCACGCAAAAGCGUUCCUGGAAAUCUCAGCCUAAAAAAGGACGUUUAGUAAUUCUAAAAGGGACUACAGGAUGAAAAAUAAUAGUUUGGGCAGUUAAAAUUUGAGAUUCGACGCUGCCGUAGAUCCGUUUGGUCAUCAGGUCUUACGAGCCACACCCAUGUCUAGCUAGAAUAGUGUGUUAGGCUCAGGCUAGAGAAGAAACGGGGAACAAACUGAUGAAAGAAUGAUCAUACCGAGGGAAUUCACUCAGAACUAACAAGAAUGAUAACGUGCUCCGACUGGAGCAGUUUAGAAACUCCUGGAAGGCUCUAGGGGAAUAAAGAUGGAAUGACUUCAAAGUUUUAGGUCCGUAUGAUUUGAAAUACUUGCACACAAACCGCGUGAAAGCGUUCCUGGAAAUCUCAACCCAAAAAAGGGCGUUUAGUAAUUCUAAAAGGGACUACAGGAUGUAAAACAAUAGUUUUGGCAGUUAAAGUUUGAGAUUCGAUGGUGCCGUAGAUCCGUUUGGUCAUCAGGUGUAACGAGCCACACCCAUGUCUAGCUAGAGUAGUGUGCUAGGCUCAGACUAGAGAAGAAACGGGGAACAAAGUGAUGAAAGAAUGAUCAUACCGAGGGAAUUCACUCAUAACUAACAAGAAUGAUAACGUGCUCUGACUUGAGCGGUUUAGGAACUGCUGGAAGGCUAUAGGGGAAUAAAGAUGGAAUGACUUCAAAUUUUUAGGUCCGUAUGAUCUGAAAUACUUGCACACAAACCGCGAGAAAGCGUUCCUGGAAAUCUCAACCCAAAAAAGGACGUUUAGUAAUUCUAAAAGGGACUACAGGAUGAAAAACAAUAGUUCUGGCAGUUAUUGUUUGAGAUUCGAUAAUCUCGUAGAUCCGUUUGGUCAUCAGGUGUAACGAGCCACACCCAUGUCUAGCUAGAGUAGUGUGCUAGGCUCAGACUAGAGAAGAAACGGGGAACAAACUGAUGAAAGAAUGAUCAUACCGAGGGAAUUCACUUAGAACUAACAAGAAUGAUAACGUGCUCCGACUGGAGCGGUUUAGGAACUGCUGGAAGGCUCUAGGGGAAUAAAGAAGGAACGACUUCUAAUUUUUAGGUCCGUAUGAUUUGAAAUAUGUGCACACAAACCACGAGAAAGCGUUCCUAGAAAUCUCGGCCCAAAAGAGGACGUUUAGUAUUCUAAAAGGGACUACAGAAUGAAAAACAAUAGUUUUGGCAGUUAAAGUUUGAGAUUUGACGGUGCCGUAGAUCUGUUUGGUCAUCAGGGGUUACGAGCCACACCCAUGUCUAGCUAGAAUAGUGUGUUAGGCUCAGGCUAGAAAAGAAACGGGGAACAAAGUGAUGAAAGAAUGAUCAUACCGAGGGAAUUCACUCAGAACUAACAAGAAUGAUAACAUGCUCCGACUGGAGCGGUUUAGGAACUGCUGGAAGGCUCUAGGGGAAUAAAGAUGGAAUGACUUCUAAUUUUUAGGUCCGUAUGAUUUGAAAUACUUGCACACAAACCGCGCGAAAGCGUUCCUGGAAAUCUCAGCCCAAAAAAGGACGUUUAGUAAUUCUAAAAGGGACUACAGGAUGAAAAACAAUAGUUUUGGCAGUUAAAGUAUGAGAUUCAACGGUGCCGUAGAUCCGUUUGGUCAUUAGGUGUUACGAGCCACACCCAUGUCUAGCUAGAAUAGUGUGCUAGGCUCAGGCUAGAGAAGAAACGGGGAACAAACUGAUGAAAGAAUGAUCAAACCGAGGGAAUUCACUCAGAACUAACAAUAAUGAUAACGUGCUCCGACUGGAGCGGUUUAGGAACUGCUGGAAGUCUCUAGGGGAAUAAAGAUGGAAUGACUUCUAAUUUUUACGUUCGUAUGAUUUGAAAAACUUGCCCAUAAACCGCGCGAAAGUGUUCCUGGAAAUCUCAGCCCAAAAAAGGACGUUUAGUAAUUUUAAAAGGGACUACACGAUGAAAAACAAUAGUUUUGGCAGGUAAAGUUUGAGAUUCGACAGUGCCGUAGAUCCGUUUGGUCAUCAGGUGUUACGAGCCACACCCAUGUCUAGCUAGAAUAGUAUGUUACGCUCAGGUUAGAGAAGAAACGGGGAACAAACUGAUGAAAGAUGAUCAUACCAAGGGAAUUCACUCAGAACUAACAAGAAUGAUAACGUGCUCCGACUGGAGCGGUUUAGGAACUGCUGGAAGGCUCUAGGGGAAUAAAGAUGGAAUGACUUCUAAUUUUUACGUCUGUAUGAUUUGAAAUACUUGCACACAAACAACGCAAAAGCAUUCCUGGAAAUCUCAUCCUAAAAAAGGACGUUUAGUAAUUCUAAAAGGGACUACAGGAUGAAAAAUAAUAGUUUGGGAAGUUAAAAUUUGAGAUUCGAUAGUGCCGUAGAUCCGUUUGGUCAUCAGGUGUUAGGAGCCACACCCAUGUCUAGCUAGAAUAGUGUGUUAGGCUCAGGCUAGAGAAGAAACAGGGAACAAACUGAUGAAAGAAUGAUCAUACCGAGGGAAUUCACUCAGAACUAGCAAGAAUGAUAACGUGCUCCGACUGGAGCAGUUUUGAAACUGCUGGAAGGCUCUAGGGGAAUAAUGAUGGAAUGACUUCUAAGUUUUUGGUCCGUAUGAUUUGAAAUACGUGCACACAAACCCAGAGAAAGUGUUCUUGGAAAUCUCGGCCGAAAAAAGGAUGUUUAAUAAUUCUAAAAGGGACUACAGGAUGAAAAACAAUAGUUUUGGCAGUUAAAGUUUGUGAUUCGAUGGUGCUGUAGAUCUGUUUGGUCAUCAGGUGUUAUGAGCCACACCCAUGUCUAGCUAGAACAGUGUGUUAGGCUCAGGCUAGAGCAGAAACGGGGAACAAACUUAUGAAAGAAUGAUCAUACCGAGGGAAUUCACUCAGAACUAACAAGAAUGAUAACGUGCUCCGACUGGAGAGGUUUAGGAACUGCUGGAAGGCUCUAGGGGAAUAAAGAUGGAAUGACUUCAAAUUUUUAGGUCUGUAUGAUCUGAAAUACUUGCACACAAACCGCGAGAAAGCGUUCCUGGAAAUCUCAGCCCAAAAAAGGACGUUUAGUGAUUCUAAAAGGGACUACGGGAUAAAAAACAAUAGUUUUGGCAGUUAAAGUUUGAGAUUCGAUAAUGCCGUAGAUCCGUUUGGUCAUCAGGUGUAACGAGCCACACCCAUGUCUAGCUAGAGUAGUGUGCUAGGCUCAUACUAGAGAAGAAAUGGGGAACAAACUGAUGAAAGAAUGAUCAUACCGAGGGAGUUCACUCAAAACUAACAUGAAUGAUAACGUGCUCCGACUGGAGCGGUUUAGGAACUGCUGGAAGGCUCUAGGGGAAUAAAGAUGGAAUGACUUCUAAUUUUUAGGUCCGUAUGAUUUGAAAUACAUGCACACAAACCCCAAGAAAGCGUUCCUGGAAAUCUCGCCCCGAAAAACGACGUUUAGUAAUUCUAAAAGGGACUAUAGGAUGAAAAACAAUAGUUUUGGCAGUUAAAGUUUGAGAUUUGACGGUGCCGUAGAUCUGUUUGGUCAUCAGGUGUUACGAGCCACACCCAUUUCUAGCUAGAAUAGUGUGUUAGGCUCAGGCUAGAAAAGAAACGGGGAACAAAGUGAUGAAAGAAUGAUCAUACCGAGGGAAUUCACUCAGAACUAACAAGAAUGAUAACAUGGUCCGACUGGAGCGGUUUAGGAACUGCUGGAAGGCUCUAGGGGAAUAAAGAUGGAAUGACUUCUAACUUUUAGGUCCGUAUGAUUUGAAUUACUUGCACACAAACCGCGCGAAAGCGUUCCUGGAAAUCUCAGCCCAAAAAAGGACGUUUAGUAAUUCUAAAAGGGACUACAGGAUGAAAAACAAUAGUUUUGGCAGUUAAAGUUUGAGAUUCGACGGUGCCGUAGAUCCGUUUGGUCAGCAGGUGUUACGAGCCACACCCAUGUCUAGCUAGAGUAGUGUGCUAGGUUCAGACUAGAGAAGAAAUGUUGGGGAACGUAGCAGAAAUUCAAAAUUUUCCUACGUGUCACCAAGAUCUAUCUAUGGAGAGACUAGCAACGAGGGAAGGAGAGUGCAUCUACAUACCCUUGUAGAUCGCUAAGCGGAAGCGUUCAAGUGAACGGGGUUGAUGGAGUCGUACUCGUCGUGAUUCAGCUCACCGAUGAUCCUAGUGCCGAACGGACGGCACCUCCGCGUUCAACACACGUACAGCUCGACGAUGUCUCCCACGCCUUGAUCCAGCAAGGAGAGAGGGAGAGGUUGAGGAAGACUCCAUCCAGCAGAAGCACAACGGCGUGGUGGUGAUGGAGGAGCAUGGCAAUCCUGCAGGGCUUCGCCAAGCACCUAUGGGAGAGGAGGAGGUGUCACGGGAGGGAGGGAGGCGCCAAGGGCUCAGGUAUAGAUGCCCUCCCUCCCCUCCACUAUAUAUAGGGGCAAGGGAGAGGGGGGAGGCGCAGCCUUGCCCCUUCCUCCAAGGAAGGGGUGCGGCUAAGAGGGGGGGAGGAGUCCAUCCUCCCCAAGGCACCUCGGAGGUGCCUUCCCCCUUUAGGACUCUCCCCUUUUUCCUAUAUCUUGGCGCAUGGGCCUCUAGGGGCUGGUUCCCUUGGCCCAUGUAGGCCCAGGCGCACCCCCUACAGCCCAUGUGGCCCCCCGGGGCAGGUGGCCCCACCUGGUGGGCCCCCGGGACCCUUCCGGUGGUCCCGGUACAAUACCGAUGACCCCGAAACUUGUCCCGAUGGCCGAAACAGGACUUCCUAUAUAUAAAUCUUUACCUCCGGACAAUUCCGGAACUCCUCGUGACGUCCGGGAUCUCAUCCGGGACUCCGAACAACAUUCGGUAACCACAUACAAACUUCCUUUAUAACCCUAGCGUCAUCGAACCUUAAGUGUGUAGACCCUACGGGUUCGGGAGACAUGUAGUCAUGACCGAGAUGUUCUCCGGUCAAUAACCAACAGCGGGAUCUGGAUACCCAUGUUGGCUCCCACAUGUUCCACGAUGAUCUCAUCGGAUGAACCACGAUGUCAAGGACUCAAUCAAUCCCGUAUACAAUUCCCUUUGUCUAGCGGUAUGGUACUUGCCCGAGAUUCGAUCGUCGGUAUACCGAUACCUUGUUCAAUCUCGUUACCGGCAAGUCUCUUUACUCAUUUCGUAACACAUCAUCCCGUGAUCAACCCCUUGGUCACAUUGUGCACAUUAUGAUGAUGUCCUACCGAGUGGGCCCAGAGAUACCUCUCCGUUUACACGGAGUGACAAAAUCCCAAUCUCGAUUCGUGCCAACCCAACAGACACUUUCAGAGAUACCCGUAGUGUACCUUUACAGCCACCCAGUUACGUUGUGACGUUUGGCACACCCAAAGCACUCCUACAGUAUCCGGGAGUUGCACAAUCUCAUGGUCUAAGGAAAUGAUACUUGACAUUAGAAAAGCUUUAGCAUACGAACUACAUGAUCUUGUGCUAGGCUUAGGAUUGGGUCUUGUCCAUCACAUCAUUCUCCUAAUGAUGUGAUCCCGUUAUCAACGACAUCCAAUGUCCAUGGUCAGGAAACCGUAACCAUCUAUUGAUUAACGAGCUAGUCAACUAGAGGCUUACUAGGGACAUGGUGUUGUCUAUGUAUCCACACAUGUAUCUAAGUUUCCUAUCAAUACAAUUCUAGCAUGGAUAAUAAACGAUUAUCAUGAACAAGGAAAUAUAAUAAUAAUCAAUUUAUUAUUGCCUCUAGGGCAUAUUUCCAACAGUCUCCCACUUGCACUAGAGUCAAUAAUCUAGUUCACAUCGAUAUGUGAUUAACACUCAAGGUCACAUUCCCAUGUGACUAACACCCAAGAGUUUACUAGAGUCAAUAAUCUAGUUCACAUUUACCAUGUGAUUAACACUUGAUGAGUUCUGGGUUUGAUCAUGUUAUGCUUGUGAGAGAGGUUAUAGUCAACGGGUCUGAACCUUUCAGAUCCGUGUGUGCUUUACAAAUCUCUAUGUCAUCUCCUAGAUGCAGCUACCACGUUCUAUUUGGAGCUAUUCCAAAUAACUGUUCUACUUGGAGCUAUUCUAAAUUGUUGCUCCAUUAUACGUAUCCGGUAUCUCUACUCAGAGCUAUCCGGAUAGGUGUUAAGCUUGCAUCGACGUAACCCUUUACGACGAACUCUUUUACCACCUCCAUAAUUGAGAAAAUUCCUUAGUCCACUAGUUACUAAGGAUAACUUUGACCGCUGUCCUGUGAUCCAUUCUUGGAUCACUCUUGUACCCCUUGACUGACUCAUGGUAAAGCACACUUCAGGUGCGGUACACAGCAUAGCAUACUGUAGAGCCUAUGUCUUAAGCAUAGGGGACGACCUUCGUUCCUUUCUCUCUAUUCUGCCAUGGUCGAGCUUUAAGUCUUAACUUCAUACCUUACAACUCAGGCAAGAACUCCUUCUUUGACUGAUCCAUCUUGAACACCUUCAAGAUCACGUCAAGGCAUGUGCUCACGUCAAGAUCACGUCGGUAUACCGAUACCUUGUUCAAUCUCGUUACCGGCAAGUCUCUUUACUCGUUCCGUAACACAUCAUCCCGUGAUCAACCCCUUGGUCACAUUGUGCACAUUAUGAUGAUGUCCUACCGAGUGGGCCCAGAGAUACCUCUCCGUUUACACGGAGUGACAAAAUCCCAAUCUCGAUUCGUGCCAACCCAACAGACACUUUCAGAGAUACCCGUAGUGUACCUUUAUAGCCACCCAGUUACGUUGUGACGUUUGGCACACCCAAAGCACUCCUACGGUAUCCGGGAGUUGCACAAUCUCAUGGUCUAAGGAAAUGAUACUUGACAUUAGAAAAGCUUUAGCAUACGAACUACAUGAUCUUGUGCUAGGCUUAGGAUUGGGUCUUGUCCAUCACAUCAUUCUCCUAAUGAUGUGAUCCCGUUAUCAACGACAUCCAAUGUCCAUGGUCAGGAAACCGUAACCAUCUAUUGAUUAACGAGCCAGUCAACUAGAGGCUUACUAGGGACAUGGUGUUGUCUAUGUAUCCACACAUGUAUCUGAGUUUCCUAUCAAUACAAUUCUAGCAUGGAUAAUAAACGAUUAUCAUGAACAAGGAAAUAUAAUAAUAAUCAAUUUAUUAUUGCCUCUAGGGCAUAUUUCCAACAGUCUCCCACUUGCACUAGAGUCAAUAAUCUAGUUCACAUCACCAUGUGAUUAACACUGACAGGUCACAUCACCAUGUGACCAACAUCCAAAGAGUCUUGGGUUUGAUCAUGUUGCUUGUGAGAGAGGUUAUAGUCAACGGGUCUGAACCUUUCAGAUCCGUGUGUGCUUUACAAAUCUCUAUGUCAUCUCCUAGAUGCAGCUACCACGUUCUAUUUGGAGCUAUUCCAAAUAACUGUUCUACUUGGAGCUAUUCUAAAUUGUUGCUCCAUUAUACGUAUCCGGUAUCUCUACUCAGAGCUAUCCGGAUAGGUGUUAAGCUUGCAUCGACGUAACCCUUUACGACGAACUCUUUUACCACCUCCAUAAUUGAGAAAAUUCCUUAGUCCACUAGUUACUAAGGAUAACUUUGACCGCUGUCCUGCGAUCCAUUCUUGGAUCACCCUUGUACCCCUUGACUGACUCAUGGUAAAGCACACUUCAGGUGCGGUACACAGCAUAGCAUACUGUAGAGCCUAUGUCUUAAGCAUAGGGGAUGACCUUCGUUCCUUUCUCUCUAUUCUGCCAUGGUCGAGCUUUAAGUCUUAACUUCAUACCUUACAACUCAGGCAAGAACUCCUUCUUUGACUGGUCCAUCUUGAACACCUUCAAGAUCAUGUCAAGGUAUGUGCUCAUUUGAAAGUACUAUUAAGCGUUUUGAUCUAUCCUUAUAGAUCUUGAUGCUCAAUGUUCAAGUAGCUUAAUCCAGGUUUUCCAUUGAAAACACUUUCCAAAUAACCCUAUAUGCUUUCCAGAAAUUCUACGUCAUUUCUGAUCAUUAAUAUGUCAACAACAUAUAAUCAUCAGAAAUUCUAUAGUGCUCCCACUCACUUCUUUGGAAAUACAAGUUUCUCAUAAACUUUGUAUACACCCAAAAUCUUUGAUCAUCAUCAAAGCAUACAUUCCAACUCCGAGAUGCUCACUCCAGUCCUCAGAAGGAUUGCUGGAGCUUUGCAUACUUAUUAGCAUAUUUCAGGAUAGACAAAACCUUCCAGUUGUAUCACAUACAACCUUUCCUCAAGAAUCGUCGACGAAACAAUGUUUUGACAUCCUAUCUGCAAGAUUUCAUAAAUAAUGCAGUAAUUGUUAAUAUAAUUCCAACAGACUCUUAGCAUCGCUACGAGUGAGAAAGUCUCAUUGUAGUCAACUCCUUGAACUUGUCAAAAAACAUCUUAACGACAAGUCGAGCUUUCUCAAUGGUGACACUUACCAUCAUUGUCUGUCUUCCUUUCAAAAUCCAUAUGUACCUAACAGCCUUACGACCAUCAAGUAGUUCUUCCAAAGUCUACACUUUGUUUUCAUACAUGGAUCCUCUCUCGGGUUUUAUGGCCAUGAGCCAUUUAUCGGAAUCCGGGCCCACCAUUGCUUCUCCAUAGCUCGUAGGUUCAUUGUUGUCUAGCAACAUGACUUCCAAGACAGGAUUACUGUACCACUCUGAAGUAGUACGUAUCCUUGUCACCCUACGAGGUUUGGGAGUGACUUGAUCUGAAGUUUCAUGAUCACUAUCAUAAGCUUCUACUUCAAUUGGUGUAGGUGCCACAGGAACAACUUCCUGUGCCCUGCUACACACUGGUUGAAGUGAUGGUUCAAUAACCUCAUCAAGUCUCCACCAUCCUCCCACUCAAUUCUUUCGAGAGAAACCUUUCCUCGAGAAAGGACCCAAUUCUAGAAACAAUUCAUAUUGCUUUCGGAUCUGAAUUAGGAAGUAUACCCAACUGUUUUGGGUGUCCUAUGAAGAUGUACUUUAUCCGCUUUGGUUUCGAGCUUAAUCCUGAAACUUUUUCACAUAAGUGUCGCAGCCCCAAACCUUUAAGAAACGACAACUUAGGUUUCUCUAAACCAUAAUUCAUACGGUGUCAUCUCAUCGGAAUUACGUGGUGCCCUAUUUAAAGUGAAUGUGGUUGUCUUUAAUGCCUAACCCAUAAACUAUCGUGGCAGUUCGAUAAGAGACAUCAUGGUAUGCAUCAUAUCCAAUAGGGUGCAACUAUGAUGUUCGGACACACCAUCACACUAUGGUGUUCCAGGCGGUAUUAAUUGUGAAACAAUUUCCACAAUGUCUUAAUUGUGUGCCAAAACUCGUAACUCAGAUACUCAUCUCUAUGAUCAUAUCAUAGACAUUUUAUCCUCUUGUCACAAUGAUCUUCUACUUCACUCUGAAAUUACUUGAACCAUUCAACAAUUCAGACUUGUGUUUCAUCAAGUAAAUAUUCUCAACAUCUACUCGAAUCAUCUGUGAAGUAAGAACAUAACGAUAUUCACUGCAUGCCUCAGCACUCAUUGGACUGCACACAUCAAAAUGUGUUACUUCCAACAAGUUGCUAUCUUGUUCCAUCUUACUGAAAACGAGGCUUUUCAGUCAUCUUGCCCAUGUGGUAUGAUUUGCAUGUCCCAAGUGAUUCAAAAAUCAAGUGAGUCAAAACGGUCCAUUUGCAUGGAGUUUCUUCAUGCAUAUACACCAAUAGACAUGGUUCGCAUGUCUCAAACUUUUCAAAAACGAGUGAGCCCAAAGAUCCAUCAAUAUGGAGCUUCUUCAUGCGUUUUAUACCGAUAUGACUUACGUGGUAGUGCCACAAGUAGGUGGUACUAUCAUUACUAUCUUUUGGCAUGAACAUGUGUAUCACUACGAUCGAGAUUUAAUAAACCAUUCAUUUUAGGUGUAAGACCAUUGAAGGUAUUAUUCAAAUAAACAGAGUAACCAUUAUUCUCCUUAAAUGAAUAACCGUAUUGCGAUAGACGUAAUCCAAUCAUGUCUAUGCUCAACGCAAACACCAAAUAACAAUUAUUUAGGUUUAACACCAAUCUCUUUGGUAGAGGGAGCGUGCGAUGCUUGAUCAUAUCAAGCAUGGAAAAACUUACAACACAUAUCGUCAGCUCACCUUUAGCUAGUCUCUGUUUAUUCCGUAGCCUUUUGUUUCGAGUUACUAACACUUAGCAACCGAACUGGUAUCUAAUACCCUGGUGCUACUAGGAGUACUAGCAAAGUACACAUUAACACAAUGUAUAUCCAAUAUACUUCUAUCGACCUUGCCAGCCUUCUUAUCUACCAAGUAUCUAGGGUAAUUCUGCUCUAGUAGUUGUUCCCCUUAUUACAGAAGCACUUAGUCUCGGGUUUGGGUUUUACCUUGGGUUUCUUCACUAGAGCAGCAGCUGAUUUGCCGUUUCAUGAAGUAUCCCUUCUUGCCCUUGCCCUUCUUGAAACUAGUGGUUCCACCAACCAUCAACAAUUGAUGCUCCUUCUUGAUUUCUACUUUCGCGGUGUCAAACAUCGCGAAUACCUCAAGGAUCAUCAUAUCUAUCCCUGAUAUGUUAUAGUUCAUCAUGAAGCUCUAACAGCUUGGUGGCAAUGACUUUGGAGAACCAUCACUAUCUCAUCUGGAAGAUCAACUCCCACUCGAUUCAAGCGAUUGUUGUACUCAGACAAUCUGAGCACAAGCUCAACGAUUGAGCUUUUCUCCCUUAGUUUGCAGGUUAAGAAAGUCAUCGGAGGUCUUAUACCUCUUGACAUGGGCACGAGCCUGAAAUCCCAAUUUCAGCCCUCAAAACAUCUCAUAUGUUUCGCGAUGUUUCAAAAACGUCUUUGGUGCCUCAACUCUAAACCGUUUAACUGAACUAUCACGUAGUUAUCAAAACGUGUAUGUCAGAUGUUCGCAACAACCACAGACAACGUUCGAGGUUCAGCACACUGAGCGGUGCAUUAAGGACAUAAGCCUUCUAUGAAGCAAUGAGGACAAUCCUCAGUUUACGGACCUAGUCCGCAUAAUUGCUACUAUCAACUUUCAACUAAUUUUUCUCUAGGAACAUAUCUAAACAGUAGAACUAUAGCGUGAGCUACGACAUAAUUUGCAAAAACCUUUUGACUAUGUUCAGGAUAAUUAAGUUCAUCUUAUGAACUCCCACUCAGAUAGACAUCCCUCUAGUCAUCUAAGUGAUUACAUGAUCCGAGUCAAACUAGGCCGUGUCCGAUCAUCACGUGAGACGGACUAGUCAUCAUCGGUGAACAUCUUCAUGUUGAUCGUAUCUUCUAUACGACUCAUGUUCGACCUUUCGGUCUUCGUGUUCCGAGGCCAUGUAUGUACAUGCUAGGCUCGUCAAGUUAACCCUAAGUGUUUCGCGUGUGUAAAUCUGUCUUACACCCGUUGUAUGUGAACGUUAGAAUCUAACACCCGAUCAUCACGUGGUGCUUCGAAACACGAACUGUCGCAACGGUGCACAGUUAGGGGAGAACACUUCUUGAAAUUGUUGUAAGGGAUCAUCUUAUUUACUACCGUCGUUCUAAGCAAAUAAGAUGUAUAAACAUGAUAAACAUCACAUGCAAUCAAAUAGUGACAUGAUAUGGCCAUCAUCACUUUGCUCCUUUUGAUCUCCAUCUUCGGGGCUCCAUGAUCAUCAUCGUCACCGGCAUGACACCAUGAUCUCCAUCAUCAUGAUCUCCAUCAUCGUGUCUUCAUGAAGUUGCCUCGCCAACUAUUACUUCUACUACUAUGGCUAACGGUUAGCAAUAAAGUAAAGUAAUUACAUGACGUUUAAGUUGACACGCAGGUCACAAAUGAAUAAAGACAACUCCUAUGGCUCCUGCCGGUUGUCAUACUCAUCGACAUGCAAGUCGUGAUUCCUAUUACAAGAACAUGAUCAAUCUCAUACAUCACAUAUAUCAUUCAUCACAUCCUUUUUGGCCAUAUCACAUCACAUAGCAUACCCUGCAAAAACAAGUUAGACGUCCUCUAAUUGUUGUUUGCAUGUUUUACGUGGCUGCUAUGGGUUUCUAGCAAGAACGUUUCUUACCUACGCAUGAACAACAACGUGAUAUGCCAAUUGCUAUUUACCCUUCAUAAGGACCCUUUUCAUCGAAUCCGAUCCGACUAAAGUGGGAGAGACAGACACCCGCCAGCCACCUUAUGCAACUAGUGCAUGUUUGUCGGUGGAACCGGUCUCACGUAAGCGUACGUGUAAGGUUGGUCCGGGCCGCUUCAUCCCACGAUGCCGCCGAAUCAAGAUAAGACUAGUAACGGCAAGCAUAUUGAACAAUAUCAACGCCCACAACUACUUUGUGUUCUACUCGUGCAAAGAAUCUACGCAAUAGACCUAGCUCAUGAUGCCACUGUUGGGGAACGUAGCAGAAAUUCAAAAUUUUCCUACGUGUCACCAAGAUCUAUCUAUGGAGAUACUAGCAACGAGGGAAGGAGAGUGCAUCUACAUACCCUUGUAGAUCGCUAAGCGGAAGCGUUCAAGUGAACGGGGUUGAUGGAGUCGUACUCGUCGUGAUUCAGAUCACCGAUGAUCCUAGUGCCGAACGGACGGCACCUCCGCGUUCAACACACGUACAGCUCGACGAUGUCUCCCACGCCUUGAUCCAGCAAGGAGAGAGGGAGAGGUUGAGGAAGACUCCAUCCAGCAGCAGCACAACGGCGUGGUGGUGAUGGAGGAGCGUGGCAAUCCUGCAGGGCUUCGCCAAGCACCUACGGGAGAGGAGGAGGUGUCACGGGAGGGAGGGAGGCGCCAAGGGCUCAGGUAUAGAUGCCCUCCCUCCCCUCCACUAUAUAUAGGGGCAAGGGAGAGGGGGAGGCGCAUCCUUGCCCCUUCCUCCAAGGAAGGGGUGCGGCUAAGAGGGGGGGAGGAGUCCAUCCUCCCCAAGGCACCUCGGAGGUGCCUUCCCCCUUUAGGACUCUCCCCUUUUUCCUAUAUCUUGGCGCAUGGGCCUCUAGGGGCUGGUGCCCUUGGCCCAUGUAGGCCAAGGCGCACCCCCCUACAGCCCAUGUGGCCCCCCGGGGCAGGUGGCCCCACCCGGUGGGCCCCCGGGACCCUUCCGGUGGUCCCGGUACAAUACCGAUGACCCCGAAACUUGUCCCGAUGGCCGAAACAGGACUUCCUAUAUAUAAAUCUUUACCUCCGGACCAUUCCGGAACUCCUCGUGACGUCCGGGAUCUCAUCCGGGACUCCGAACAACAUUCGGUAACCACAUACAAACUUCCUUUAUAACCCUAGCGUCAUCGAACCUUAAGUGUGUAGACCCUACGGGUUCGGGAGACAUGUAGUCAUGACCGAGAUGUUCUCCGGUCAAUAACCAACAGCGGGAUCUGGAUACCCAUGUUGGCUCGCACAUGUUCCACGAUGAUCUCAUCGGAUGAACCACGAUGUCAAGGACUCAAUCAAUCCCGUAUACAAUUCCCUUUGUCUAGCGGUAUGGUACUUGCCCGAGAUUCGAUCGUCGGUAUACCGAUACCUUGUUCAAUCUCGUUACCGGCAAGCCUCUUUACUCGUUCCGUAACACAUCAUCCCGUGAUCAACCCCUUGGUCACAUUGUGCACAUUAUGAUGAUGUCCUACCGAGUGGGCCCAGAGAUACCUCUCCGUUUACACGGAGUGACAAAAUCCCAAUCUCGAUUCGUGCCAACCCAACAGACACUUUCAGAGAUACCCGUAGUGUACCUUUAUAGCCACCCAGUUACGUUGUGACGUUUGGCACACCCAAAGCACUCCUACGGUAUCCGGGAGUUGCACAAUCUCAUGGUCUAAGGAAAUGAUACUUGACAUUAGAAAAGCUUUAGCAUACGAACUACAUGAUCUUGUGCUAGGCUUAGNNNNNNNNNNUGAUCAACCCCUUGGUCACAUUGUGCACAUUAUGAUGAUGUCCUACCGAGUGGGCCCAGAGAUACCUCUCCGUUUACACGGAGUGACAAAAUCCCAAUCUCGAUUCGUGCCAACCCAACAGACAUUUUCAGAGAUACCCGUAGUGUACCUUUAUAGCCACCCAGUUACGUUGUGACGUUUGGCACACCCAAAGCACUCCUACGGUAUCCGGGAGUUGCACAAUCUCAUGGUCUAAGGAAAUGAUACUUGACAUUAGAAAAGCUUUAGCAUACGAACUACAUGAUCUUGUGCUAGGCUUAGGAUUGGGUCUUGUCCAUCACAUCAUUCUCCUAAUGAUGUGAUCCCGUUAUCAACGACAUCCAAUGUCCAUGGUCAGGAAACCGUAACCAUCUAUUGAUUAACGAGCUAGUCAACUAGAGGCUUACUAGGGACAUGGUGUUGUCUAUGUAUCCACACAUGUAUCUGAGUUUCCUAUCAAUACAAUUCUAGCAUGGAUAAUAAACGAUUAUCAUGAACAAGGAAAUAUAAUAAUAAUCAAUUUAUUAUUGCCUCUAGGGCAUAUUUCCAACAAGAAACGGGGAACAAACUGAUGAAAGAAUGAUCAUACCGAGGGAAUUCACUCAGAACUAACAAGAAUGAUAACGUGCUUUGACUGGAGCGGUUUAAAAACUGCUGGAAGGCUCUAGGGGAAUAAAGAUGGAAUGCCUUCAAAUUUCUAGGUCCGUAUGAUUUGAAAUACUUGCACACAAACCGCGCGAAAGCGUUCCUGGAAAUCUCAGCCCAAAAAAGGACGUUUAGUAAUUCUAAAAGGGACUACAGAAUGAAAAACAAUAGUUUUGGCAGUUAAAGUUUGAGAUUCGAUGGUGCCGUAGAUCCGUUUGGUCAUCAGGUGUAACGAGCCACACCCAUGUCUAGCUAGAGUAGUGUGCUAGGCUCAGGCUAGAGAAGAAACGGGGAACAAACUGAUGAAAGAAUGAUCAUACCGAGGGAAUUCACUCAGAACUAACAAGAAUGAUAACGUGCUCCGACUGGAGCGGUUUAGGAACUGCUGGAAGGCUCUAGGGGAAGAAAGAAGGAAUGACUUCUAAUUUUUAGGUCCGUAUGAUUUGAAAUACGUGCACACAAACCGCGCGAAAGCGUUCCUGGAAAUCUCAGCCCAAAAAAGGACGUUUAGUAUUCUAAAAGGGACUACAGAAUGAAAAACAAUAGUUUUGGCAGUUAAAGUUUGAGAUUCGACGGUGCCGUAGAUCCGUUUGGUCAUCAGGUGUUACGAGCCACACCCAUGUCUAGCUAGAAUAGUGUGCNNNNNNNNNNNNNNNNNNNNNNNNNCGUAUGAUUUGAAAUACGUGCACACAAACCGCGCGAAAGCGUUCCUGGAAAUCUCAGCCCAAAAAAGGACGUUUAGUAUUCUAAAAGGGACUACAGAAUGAAAAACAAUAGUUUUGGCAGUUAAAGUUUGAGAUUCGACGGUGCUGUAGAUCCGUUUGGUCAUCAGGUGUUACGAGCCACACCCAUGUCUAGCUAGAAUAGUGUGCUAGGCUCAGGCUAGAGAAGAAAAGGGGAACAAACUAAUGAAAGAAUGAUCAAUACGAGGGAAUUCACUCAGAACUAACAAUAAUGAUAACGUGCUCCGACUGGAGCGGUUUAGGAACUGCUGGAAGGCUCUAGGCGAAUAAAGAUGGAAUGACUUCUAAUUUUUACGUCCGUAUGAUUUGAAAUACUUGCACACAAACCACGCAAAAGCGUUCCUGGAAAUCUCGGCCUAAAAAGGACGUUUAGUAAUUCUAAAAGGGACUACAGGAUGAAAAAUAAUAGUUUGGGCAGUUAAAAUUUGAGAUUCGACGGUGCCGUAGAUCCGUUUGGUCAUCAGGUGUUACGAGCCACACCCAUGUCUAGCUAGAAUAGUGUGUUAGGCUCAGGCUAGAGAAGAAACGAGGAACAAACUGAUGAAAGAAUGAUCAUACCAAGGGAAUUCACUCAGAACUAACAAGAAUGAUAACGUGCUCCGACUGGAGCAGUUUAGAAACUGCUGGAAGGCUCUAGGGGAAUAAAGAUGGAAUGACUUCUGAUUUUUAGGUCCGUAUGAUUUGAAAUACGUGCACACAAACCCCGCGAAAGCGUUCCUGGAAAUCUCAGCCCAAAAAAGGACGUUUAGUAAUUCUAAAAGGGACUACAACAUGAAAAACAAUAGUUUUGGCAGUUAAAGUUUGAGAUUUCAUGGUGCCGUAGAUCUGUUUGGUCAUCAGGUGUUACGAGCCACACCCAUGUCUAGCUAGAAUAGUGUGUUAGGCUCAGGCUAGAAAAGAAACGGGAAACAAAGUGAUGAAAGAAUGACCAUACCGAGGGAAUUCACUCAGAACUAACAAGAAUGAUAACAUGCUCCGACUUGAGCGGUUUAGGAACUGCUGGAAGGCUCUAGGGGAAUAAAGAUGGAAUGACUUCUAAUGUUUAGGUCCGUAUGAUUUGAAAUACUUGCACAUAAACCGCACAAAAGCGUUCCUGGAAAUCUCAGCCCAAAAAAGGACGUUUAGUAAUUCUAAAAGGGACUACAGGAUGAAAAACAAUAGUUUUGGCAGUUAAAGUUUGAGAUUCGACGGUGCCGUAGAUCCGUUUGGUCAUCAGGUGUUACGAGCCACACCCAUGUCUAGCUAGAAUAGUGUGUUAGGCUCAGGCUAGAGAAGAAACUUGGAACAAACUGAUGAAAGAAUGAUCAAACCAACGGAAUUCACUCAGAACUAACAAUAAUGAUAACGUGCUCCGACUGGAGCAGUUUAGGAACUGCUGGAAGGCUCUAGGGGAAUAAAGAUGGAAUGACUUCUAAUUUUUAGGUCCGUAUGAUUUGAAAUACUUGCACGCAAACCGCGCGAAAGCGUUCCUGGAAAUAUCAGCCCAAAAAAGGACGUUUAGUAAUUCUAAAAGGGACUACAGGAUGAAAACAAUAGUUUUGGCAGUUAAAGUUUGAGAUUCAACAGUGCCGUAGAUCCGUUUGGUCAUCAGGUGUUAUGAGCCAUACCCAUGUCUAGCUAGAGUAGUGUGCUAGGCUCAGGCUAGAGAAGAAACAGGGAACAAACUGAUGAAAGAAUGAUCAUACCGAGGGAAUUCACUCAGAACUAACAAGAAUGAUAACGUGCUCCGACUGGAGCGGUUUAGGAACUGCUGGAAGGCUCUAGGGGAAUAAAGAUGGAGUGACUUCUAAAUUUUUAGGUCCGUAUGAUUUAAAAUACUUGCACACAAACCGCACGAAAGCGUUCCUUGAAAUCUCAGCCCAAAAAAGGACGUUUAGUAAGUCUAAAAGGGACUAUAGGAUGAAAAACAAUAGUUUUGGCAGUUAAAGUUUGAGAUUCGAUGGUGCCGUAGAUCUGUUUGGUCAUCAGGUGUUACGAGCCACACCCAUGUCUAGUUGGAAUAGUGUGCUAGGCUCAGACUAGAGAAGAAACAGGGAACAAACUGAUGAAAGAAUGAUCAAACCGAGGAAAUUCACUCAGAACUAACAAUAAUGAUAACAUGCUCCGACUGGAGCGGUUUAGGAACUGCUGGAAGGCUCUAGGGGAAUAAAGAUGGAAUGACUUCUAAAUUUUUAGGUCCGUAUGAUUUGAAAUAGUUGCACACAAACUGCGCGAAAGCGUUCCUGGAAAUCUCAGCCCAAAAAAGGACGUUUAGUAAUUCUAAAAGGGACUAUAGGAUGAAAAACAAUAGUUUUGGCAGUUAAAGUUUGAGAUUCGACGGUGCCGUAGAUCCGUUUGGUCAUCACGUGUUACAAGCCACACCCAUGUCUAGCUAGAGUAGUGUGCUAGGCUCAGACUAUAGAAGAAACGGGGACCAAACUGAUGAAAGAAUGAUCAAACCGAGGAAAUUCACUCAGAACUAACAAUAAUGAUAACAUGCUCCGACUGGAGCGGUUUAGGAACUACUGGAAGGCUCUAGGGGAAUAAAGAUGGAAUGACUUCUAAAUUUUUAGGUCCGUAUGAUUUUAAAUAGUUGCACACAAACUGCGCGAAAGCGUUCCUGGAAAUCUCAGCCCAAAAAAGGACGUUUAGUAAUUCUAAAAGGGACUACAGGAUGAAAAACAAUAGUUUGGGCAGUUAAAAUUUGAGAUUCGACGGUGCCGUAGAUCCGUUUGGUCAUCAGGUGUUACGAGCCACACCCAUGUCUAGCUAGAGUAGUGUGCUAGGCUCAGGCUAGAGAAGAAACAGGGAACAAACUGAUGAAAGAAUGAUCAUACCGAGGGAAUUCACUCAGAACUAACAAGAAUGAUAACGUGCUCUGACUGGAGCGGUUUAAGAACUGUUGGAAGGCUCUAGGGGAAUAAAGAUGGAAUCACUUCAAAUUUUUACGUCCGUGUGAUUUGAAAUACUUGCACACAAACCGCACGAAAGCGUUCCUGGAAAUCUCAGCCCAAAAAAGGACGUUUAGUAAGUCUAAAAGGGACUACACGAUGAAAAACAAUAGUUUUGGCAGUUAAAGUUUGAGAUUCGACAGUGCCGUAGAUCCGUUUGGUCAUCAGGUGUAACGAGCCACACCCAUGUCUAGAUAGAGUAGUGUGCUAGGCUCAAACUAGAGAAGAAACGGGGAACAAACUGAUGAAAGAAUGAUCAUACCGAGGGAAUUCACUCAGAAAUAACAAGAAUGAUAACGUGCUCUGACUGGAGCGGUUUAGGAACUGCUGGAAGGCUCUAGGGGAAUAAAGAAGGAAUGACUUCUAAUUUUUAGGUCCGUAUGAUUUGAAAUACGUGCACACAAACCCCGAGAAAGCGUUCCUGGAAAUCUCGACCCAAAAAAGGACGUUUAGUAAUUCUAAAAGGGACUACGGGAUGAAAAACAAUAGUUUUGGCAGUUAAAGUUUGAGAUUCGAUAAUGCCGUAGAUCCAUUUGGUCAUCAGGUGUAACGAGCCACACCCAUGUCUAGCUAGAGUAGUGUGCUAGGCUCAGACUAGAGAAGAAACAGGGAACAAACUGAUGAAAGAAUGAUCAUAUCGAGGGAAUUCACUCAGAACUAACAAGAAUGAUAACAUGCUCCGACUUGAGCGGUUUAGGAACUGCUGGAAGGCUCUAGGGGAAUAAAGAUGGAAUGACUUCUAAUUUUUAGGUCCGUAUGAUUUGAAAUACUUACACACAAACCACGCGAAAGCGUUCCUGGAAAUCUCAGCCCAAAAAAGGACGUUUAGUAAUUCUAAAAGGGACUACAUGAUGAAAAACAAUAGUUUUCGCAGUUAAAGUUUGAGAUUCGACGGUGCCGUAGAUCCGUUUGGUCAUCAAGUGUUACGAGCCACACCCAUGUCUAGCUAGAAUAGUGUGUUAGGCUCAGCCUAGAGAAGAAACGGGGAACAAACUGAUGAAAGAAUGAUCAUACCGAGGGAAUUCACUCAGAACUUACAAGAAUGAUAACGUGCUCCGACUUGAGCGGUUUAAGAACUGUUGGAAGGCUCUAGGGGAAUAAAGAUGGAAUCACUUCAAAUUUUUACGUCCGUGUGAUUUGAAAUACUUGCACACAAACCCCGAGAAAGCGUUCCUGGAAAUCUCGGCCGAAAAAAGGAUGUUUAAUAAUUCUAAAAGGGACUACAGGAUGAAAAACAAUAGCUUUGGCAGUUAAAGUUUGUGAUUCGAUGGUGCCGUAGAUCUGUUUGGUCAUCAGGUGUUAUGAGCCACACCCAUGUCUAGCUAGAAUAGUGUGUUAGGCUCAGGCUAGAGCAGAAACUAGGAACAAACUUAUGAAAGAAUGAUCAUACCGAGGGAAUUCACUCAGAACUAACAAGAAUGAUAACGUGCUCCGACUGGAGCGGUUUAGGAACUGCUGGAAGGCUCUAGGGGAAUAAAGAUGGAAUGACUUCUAAUUUUUAGGUCCGUAUGAUUUGAAAUACAUGCACACAAACCCCAAGAAAGCGUUCCUAGAAAUCUCAGCCCAAAAAGGACGUUUAGUAAUUCUAAAAGGGACUACAGGAUGAAAAACAAUAGGUUUGGCAGUUAAAGUUUGAGAUUCGAUAAUGCCGUAGAUCCGUUUGGUCAUCAGGUGUAACGAGCCACACCCAUGUCUAGCUACAUUAGUGUGCUAGGCUCAGACUAGAGAAGAAACGGGGAACAAACUGAUGAAAGAAUGAUCAUACCGAGGGAAUUCACUCAGAACUAACAAGAACGAUAACAUGCUCCGACUGCAGCGGUUUAGGAACUGCUGGAAGGCUCUAGGGGAAUAAAGAAGGAAUGACUUCUAAUUUUUAGGUCCGUAUGAUUUGAAAUACUUGCACACAAACCGCGCGAAAGCAUUCCUGGAAAUCUCAGCCCAAAAAAGGACGUUUAGUAAUUCUAAAAGGGACUACAGGAUGAAAAACAAUAAUUUUGGCAGUUAAAGUUUGAGAUUCGACGGUGCCGUAGAUCCGUUUGGUCAUCAGGUGUUACGGGCCAUACCCAUGUCUAGCUAGAAUAGUGUGUUAGGCUCAGGUUAGAGAAGAAACGGGGAACAAAGUGAUGAAAGAAUGAUCAUACCGAGGGAAUUCACUCAGAACUAACAAGAAUGAUAACGUGCUCCGACUGGAGCGGUUUAGGAAUUGCUGGAAGGCUCUAGGGGAAUAAAGAUGGAAUGACUUCUAUAUUUUACGUCCGUAUGAUUUGAAAUACUUGCACACAAACCACGCAAAAGCACUCCUGGAAAUAUCAGCCUAAAAAGGAUGUUUAGUAAUUCUAAAAGGGACUACAGGAUGAAAAAUAAUAGUUUUGGCAGUUAAAAUUUGAGAUUCAACGGUGCCGUAAAUCCGUUUGGUCAUCAGGUGUUACGAGCCACACCCAUGUCUAGCUAGAAUAGUGUGUUAGGCUCAGGUUAGAGAAGAAACGGGGAACAAACUGAUGAAAGAAUGAUCAUACAAGGGGAAUUCACUCAGAACUAUCAAGAAUGAUAACGUGCUCCGACUGGAGCAGUUUAGGAACUGCCGGAAGGCUCUAGGGGAAUAAAGAUGGAAUGACUUCUAAUUUUUAUGUCCGUAUGAUUUGAAAUACUUGCACACAAACCACGCAAAAGCGUUCCUGGAAAUCUCAGCCUAAAAAGGACGUUUAGUAAUUCUAAAAGGGACUACAGGAUGAAAAACAAUAGUUUGGGCAGUUAAAAUUCGAGAUUCGACGGUGCCGUAGAUCCGUUUGGUCAUCAGGUGUUACGAGCCACACCCAUGUCUAGCUAGAAUAGUGUGUUAGGCUCAGGCUAGAGAAGAAACGGGGAACAAACUGAUGAAAGAAUGAUCAUAUCGAGGGAAUUCACUCAGAACUAACAAGAAUGAUAACGUGCUCCGACUGGAGCGGUUUAGUAACUGCUGGAAGGCUCUAGGGGAAUAAAGAUGGAAUGACUUCUAAUUAUUAGGUCCGUAAGAUUUGAAUUACAUGCACACAAACCCCGAGAAAGCGUUCCUGGAAAUCUCGGUCGAAAAAAGGAUGUUUAGUAAUUCUAAAAGGGACUACAGGAUGAAAAACAAUAGUUUUGGCAGUUAAAGUUUGUGAUUCGAUGGUGCCGUAGAUCUGUUUGGUCAUCAGGUGUUACGAGCCACACCCAUGUCUAGCUAGAAUAGUGUGUUAGGCUCAGGCUAGAGCAGAAACGGGGAACAAACUUAUGAAAGAAUGAUCAUGCCGAGGGAAUUCACUCAGAACUAACAAGAAUGAUAACGUGCUCCGACUGGAGCGGUUUAGGAACUGCUGGAAGGCUCUAGGGGAAUAAAGAUGGAAUGACAUCAAAUUUUUAGGUCCGUAUGAUUUGAAAUACUUGCACACAAACCGCAAGAAAGCGUUCUUGGAAAUCUCCGCCCAAAAAAGGACGUUUAGUAAUUCUAAAAGGGUCUACAGGAUGAAAAACAAUAGUUCUGGCAGUUAAAGUUUGAGAUUCGAUAAUGUCGUAGAUCCGUUUGGUCAUCAGGCGUAACGAGCCACACCCAUUUCUAGCUAGAGUAGUGUGCUAGGCUCAGACUAGAGAAGAAACGGGGAACAACCUGAUGAAAGAAUGAUCAUACCGAGGGAAUUCACUCAGAACUAACAAGAAUGAUAACGUGCUCCGACUGGAGCGGUUUAGGAACUGCUGGAAGGCUCUACGGGAAUAAAGAAGGAAUGACUUCUAAUUUUUAGGUCCGUAUGAUUUGAAAUACGUGCACACAAACCCCGAGAAAGCGUUCCUGGAAAUCUCGGCCCAAAAAAGGACGUUUAGUAUUCUAAAAGCGACUACAGAAUGAAAAACAAUAGUUUUGGUAGUUAAAGUUUGAGAUUUAACGGUGCCGUAGAUCUGUUUGGUCAUCAGGUGUUACGAGCCACACCCAUGUCUAGCUAGAAUAGUGUGUUAGGCUCAGGCUAGAUAAGAAACAGGGAACAAAGUGAUGAAAGAAUGAUCAUACCAAGGGAAUUCACUCAGAACUAACAAGAACGAUAACAUGCUCCGACUGGAGUGGUUUAGGAACUGCUGGAAGGCUCUAGGGGAAUAAAGAUGGAAUGACUUCUAAUUUUUAGGUCUGUAUGAUUUGAAAUACUUGCACACAAACCGCACGAAAGCGUUCCUGGAAAUCUCAUCCCAAAAAAGGACGUUUAGUAAUUCUAAAAGGGACUACAGGAUGAAAAACAAUAGUUUUGGCAGUUAAAGUUUGAGAUUCGAUAAUGCUGUAGAUCCGUUUGGUCAUCAGGUGUAACGAGCCACACCCAUGUCUAGCUAGAGUAGUGUGCUAGGCUCAGACUAGAGAAGAAACGGGGAACAAACUGAUGAAAGAAUGAUCAUACCGAGGGAAUUCACUCAGAACUAACAAUAAUGAUAACGUGCUCCGACUGGAGCGGUUUAGGAACUGCUGGAAGGCUCUAGGGGAAUAAAGAUGGAAUGAGUUCUAAUUUUUAGGUCUGUAUGAUUUGAAAUACUUGCACACAAACCGCGUGAAAGCAUUCCUGGAAAUUUCAGCCCAAAAAAGGACGUUUAGUAAUUUUAAAAGGGACUACACGAUGAAAAACAAUAGUUUUGGCAGUUAAAGUUUGAGAUUCGACGGUGCCGUAGAUCCGUUUGGUCAUCAGGUGUUACGAGCCACACCCAUGUCUAGCUAGAAUAGUAUGUUAGGCUCGGGUAAGAGAAGAAACGGGGAACAAACUGAUGAAAGAAUGAUCAUACCAAGGGAAUUCACUCAGAACUAACAAGAAUGAUAACGUGCUCCGACUGGAGCGGUUUAGGAACUGCUGGAAGGCUCUAGGGGAAUAAAGAUGGAAUGACUUCUAAUUUUUACGUUCGUAUGAUUUGAAAUACUUGCACACAAACCACGCAAAAGCGUUCCUGGAAAUCUCAUCCUAAAAAAGGACGUUUAGUAAUUCUAAAAGGGACUACAGGAUGAAAAAUAAUAGUUUGGGCAGUUAAAAUUUGAGAUUCGACGGUGCCGUAGAUCCGUUUGGUCAUCAGGUGUUACGAGCCACACCCAUGUCUAGCUAGAAUAGUGUGUUAGGCUCAGGCUAGAGAAGAAACGGGGAACAAACUGAUGAAAGAAUGAUCAUAUCGAGGGAAUUCACUCAGAACUAACAAGAAUGAUAACGUGCUCCGACUGGAGCAGUUUAGAAACUGCUGGAAGGCUCUAGGGGAAUAAAGAUGGAAUGACUUCUAAUUUUUAGGUCUGUAUGAUUUGAAAUACGUGCACACGAACCCCGAGAAAGCGUUCCUGGAAAUCUCGGCCCAAAAAAGGACGUUUAGUAAUUCUAAAAGGGACUACAGGAUGAAAAACAAUAGUUUUGGCAGUUAAAGUUUGAGAUUCGACGGUGCCGUAGAUCCGUUUGUUCAUCAGGUGUUACGAGCCACACCCAUGUCUAGCUAGAAUAGUGUGUUAGGCUCAGGCUAGAGAAGAAACGGGGAACAAACUGAUGAAAGAAUGAUCAUACCGAGGGAAUUCACUCAGAACUAACAAGAAUGAUAACGUGCUCCGACUGGAGCGGUUUAGGAACUGCUAGAAGGCUCUAGGGGAAUAAAGAAGGAAUGACUUCUAAUUUUUAGGUCCGUAUGAUUUGAAAUACGUGCACACAAACCCCGAGAAAGCGUUCCUGGAAAUCUUGGCCCAAAAAAGGACGUUUAGUAUUCUAAAAGCGACUACAGAAUGAAAAACAAUAGUUUUGCUAGUUAAAGUUUGAGAUUUGAUGGUGCCGUAGAUCUGUUUGGUCAUCAGGUUUUACGAGCCACACCCAUGUCUAGCUAGAAUAGUGUGUUAGGCUCAGGCUAGAAAAGAAACAGGGAAUAAAGUGAUGAAAGAAUGAUCAUACCAAGGGAAUUCACUCAGAACUAACAAGAACGAUAACAUGCUCCGACUGGAGUGGUUUAGAACUGCUGGAAGGCUAAAGGGGAAUAAAGAUGGAAUGACUUCUAAUUUUUAGGUCCGUAUGAUUUGAAAUACUUGCACACAAACCGCACGAAAGUGUUCCUGGAAAUCUCAGCCCAAAAAAGGACGUUUAGUAAUUCUAAAAGGGACUACAGGAUGAAAAACAAUAGUUUUGGCAGUUAAAGUUUGAGAUUCGAUAAUGACGUAGAUCCGUUUGGUCAUCAGGUGUAACGAGCCACACCCAUGUCUAGCUAGAGUAGUGUGCUAGGCUCAGACUAGAGAAGAAACGGGGAACAAACUGAUGAAAGAAUGAUCAUACCGAGGGAAUUCACUCAGAACUAACAAUAAUGAUAACGUGCUCCGACUAGAGCGGUUUAGGAACUGCUGGAAGGCUCUAGGGGAAUAAAGAUGGAAUGACUUCUAAUUUUUAGGUCCCUAUGAUUUGAAAUACUUGCACACAAACCGCGUGAAAGCAUUCCUGGAAAUUUCAGCCCAAAAAAGGACGUUUAGUAAUUUUAAAAGGGACUACACGAUGAAAAAGAAUAGUUUUGGCAGUUAAAGUUUGAGAUUCGACGGUGCCGUAGAUCCGUUUGGUCAUCAGGUGUUACGAGACACACCCAUGUCUAGCUAGAAUAGUAUGUUAGGCUCGGGUUAGAGAAGAAACGGGGAACAAACUGAUGAAAGAAUGAUCAUACCAAGGGAAUUCACUCAGAACUAACAAGAAUGAUAACGUGCUCCGACUGGAGCGGUUUAGGAACUGCUGGAAGGCUCUAGGGGAAUAAAGAUGGAAUGACUUCUAAUUUUUACGUUCGUAUGAUUUGAAAUACUUGCAAACAAACCACGCAAAAGCGUUCCUGGAAAUUUCAUCCUAAAAAAGGACGUUUAGUAAUUCUAAAAGGGACUACAGGAUGAAAAAUAAUAGUUUGGGCAGUUAAAAUUUGAGAUUCGAUGGUGCCGUAGAUCCGUUUGGUCAUCAGGUGUUACGAGCCACACCCAUGUCUAGCUAGAAUAGUGUGUUAGGCUCAGGCUAGAGAAGAAACGGGGAACAAACUGAUGAAAGAAUGAUCAUAUCGAGGGAAUUCACUCAGAACUAACAAGAAUGAUAACGUGCUCCGACUGGAGCAGUUUAGAAACUGCUGGAAGGCUCUAGGGGAAUAAAGAUGGAAUGACUUCUAAUUUUUAGGUCUGUAUGAUUUGAAAUACGUGCACACAAACCCCGAGAAAGCGUUCCUGGAAAUCUCGUCCGGAAAAAGGAUGUUUAAUAAUUCUAAAAGGGACUACAGGAUGAAAAACAAUAGUUUUGGCAGUUAAAGUUUGUGAUUCGAUGGUGCCGUAGAUCUGUUUGGUCAUCAGGUGUUACGGGCCACACCCAUGUCUAGCUAGAAUAGUGUGUUAGGCUCAGGCUAGAGCAGAAAC
rnacentral:lncRNA from 1 species